rnacentral:lncRNA from 1 species
ACAAAAUGAAUAGUCCACCACUACCUGCUCAAAGCAGUGGACUGGCUCAGUCAUGAUUUGCUAGCAGUUUCAAAACACAAAACGAUAUUGCUGAGACUGACUGCCAAGAAGCAGGGUUUAUCCUGUAUCUCUUCUCCCCCGUGGGUGAGAAAAGAGAGCAUCAGGGUGCUGCAGGCUUAGUUGACAUCCUGCUUGAAGCUGACAACUCACACUCCACCAUCCACUGACAAGAGGCUGGGCUCCAGCUAUGCACAGGCACACACGGCACUCCUAUUCUGCAUCUAGUUUUUGUGGCUCCUCAUCACCAGUUUAAGAGCCAACAAGGCAGAUGGAUGAAGUAUCAGCAUGACUGAGAGGGAAAAACCAUGCAGGGCGCUCCCUGCAUAGCGCCCGCCACAGCCCAGGCCUCCUGCAGAUGAUCCUGGAGAUAGGUGAACGCUAGCCAUGCUCACUUCUGCCAUGCAGCACACGACUCCAAAACAGAGACGCAUGACAACUUCCUCAGUUCUGGCAGAUUCUUUCAGGAUCCGGGGCUGUAAGACUGUUACUCAGGUCUCAAUAACACACAAAAACCAAAAACAAGCUAUCCAACAAAAAAGAUGAUUAAGAGGAAAAGCACUGGAGUGGGAUAACCGUGAAUUUAUAUCCUAGUUCUUGCAUCAACUAGCUGAGGGGCCCUGGGCAAGUUAUUUGACCUCUUGGCAUUUCAGUUUUCUUGUCUAAAAAAGAGAGGGUAUAAUUGUACAAAGCUCAUAUAAUUUAUGGUAAGGAUUACAUGAGAUAAUUCAUGAGAGUUCAUGUAAAUUCAUAGCAUAAUACCUGAUACCUAGUAAGUGCUUAAUAAAUAUUAUGUGACAGGGAGAGGAACACCACACACUGGGGCCUGUCGGGCGGGUGAGGGGAAAGGGGAGGGAGAGCAUUAGGACAAAUACUUAAUGCAUGCGGGGCUUAAAACCUAGAAGACGGGUUAAUAGGUGUAGCAAACCACCAUGGUACAUGUAUACCUAUGUAACAAACCUGCACAUUCUGCACAUGUAUC